rfam:Lactobacillus reuteri DSM 20016, complete genome.
UAAAUGACAGUGAACAGACUAGUAGAGCUUUAGGCAUUGCAAAGAGAGUCCUUAAUGAUGGGAAGGGAUCAAUGUUUCGGCUUGAAUCACAUCUGUGAGUUGGCCUUCUGAAAGCCAUAGUAGGAAGACCCGGGGAAGCCCGUUACAGCGCGGAGUUUAUUUUAAUGAACUCACUAAGGCUAUUAUUCGUGAGAAAAUAGCAAGAUGAGGUGGAACCGCGGAAACGCCCUCGUAGCCAGUUUAGGCUCGAGGGUGUUUUUUGUUUCAUUAAAAUAGACUUAUUAAGGCAAAUAUUGCGAAAUAUUUGUAAACAUGAGGUGGAACCACGAUGUACUCGUCCUCUAG